rnacentral:rRNA from 1 species
UACGUAGGCAGCAAGCGUUGUUCGGAGUUACUGGGCGUAAAGGGUGCGUAGGCGGCUCUAUAAGUAUGGUGUGAAAUCUCCCGGCUUAACUGGGAGGGUGCGCUAUAGACUGUGGGGCUAGAGUGUGGGAGAGGAAAGUGUAAUUCCUGGUGUAGCGGUGAAAUGCGUAGAUAUCAGGAGGAACACCGGUGGUGUAAACGGCUUUCUGGACCAUAACUGACGCUGAGGCACGAAAGCGUGGGUAGCAAACAGG